UACGGGGGGGGCAAGCGUUGUUCGGAAUUACUGGGCGUAAAGGGUGCGUAGGCGGCGCGGUAAGUCGGAUGUGAAAUCCCUCGGCUCAACCGAGGACGUGCAUUCGAAACUGUCAGGCUCGAGUAUGGAAGAGGGUCGCGGAAUUCCCGGUGUAGAGGUGAAAUUCGUAGAUAUCGGGAGGAACACCAGUGGCGAAGGCGGCGACCUGGGCCAAUACUGACGCUGAGGUGCGAAAGCGUGGGGAGCAAACAGG
rnacentral:rRNA from 1 species